rnacentral:lncRNA from 1 species
UUGGAAGGUUAGGGAUUGUAUUCUGAGAGGUCAUCUCUUACAACCUCUAUCCUUUAGAAGUCAGAGGACAGACUCUCAUGGAAGGCUCUUCCUAGUUAUUUGCUCUACUAAAUACCAAGUUCGUUGCUUUCUGUGUUGUUUGCAGUUCCUCAUGAACAUGAAAACCGGCUCCAGCUUUGGAAGCAGUGCAGUAGCCCAAGGAAGAAUUAAUGGUGCAUAUUGUAGGAAAAUAAUACAGAACAUAUGUGCAAGGAUUCCUUCAGGUAACUUUACGCUUAUAGCCAAAAUAAAUUGCAAGAUAGUUUUCAUUUCCAUUACUUCUCUUGGUCUUUUUUUUUUUUUUUUUUUUUUAAAAGGUACACUUCCACUAAUUAAAGGUAACUCUUGCUAAUAGAAGCUAAUAGAAGAUAAAUUUUCUGCAGUGUUGCCAGUCCU